rnacentral:rRNA from 1 species
CACGUAGGGGCCAAGCGUUGUCCGGAUUUAUUGGGCGUAAAGAGCUCGUAGGCGGUUGGGUAAGUCGGGUGUGAAAACUCCAGGCUCAACCUGGAGACGCCACCCGAUACUGUCGUGACUAGAGUCCAGUAGGGGAGCGUGGAAUUCCUGGUGUAGCGGUGGAAUGCGUAGAGAUCGGGAAGAACACCAGUGGCGAAGGCGGCUCACUGGUCCGGUACUGACGCUGAGGUGCGAAAGCGUGGGGAGCAAACAGG